UACGUAGGGUGCAAGCGUUGUCCGGAAUUAUUGGGCGUAAAGAGCUCGUAGGCGGUCUGUCGCGUCUGCUGUGAAAACUCAGGGCUUAACCCUGAGCUUGCAGUGGGUACGGGCAGACUAGAGUGCGGUAGGGGAGACUGGAAUUCCUGGUGUAGCGGUGAAAUGCGCAGAUAUCAGGAGGAACACCGGUGGCGAAGGCGGCAUCCUGGACCGAUAUUGACGCUGAUGCGCGAAAGCCAGGGGAGCAAACGG
rnacentral:rRNA from 1 species